AGCGAACGCUGGCGGCGUGCUUAACACAUGCAAGUCGAACGUGAAAUGUAGCAAUACAGAGUAAAGUGGCGUACGGGUGAGUAACACGUGGGUAAUCUACCAAAGAGCCUGGAAUAACCGACCGAAAGGUUGGCUAAUACUGGAUAGUUCAAAUGAAAUAUAAUGUUUCGAUUGGGAAAGGGAGCGAGCAAUCGCUUUCACUUUUUGAUGAGCCCGCGUCUGAUUAGCUAGUUGGUAGGGUAAUGGCCUACCAAGGCGACGAUCAGUAGCUGGUCUGAGAGGAUGAUCAGCCACACUGGAACGGAAACACGGUCCAGACUCCUACGGGAGGCAGCAGUGGGGAAUCUUGCGCAAUGGACGAAAGUCUGACGCAGCCACGCCGCGUGAGUGAAGAAGGCCUUCGGGUUGUAAAGCUCUGUCGGAAGGGACAAAAACGUUUAAGGUUAAUAGCCUUAGAUCUUGAUGGUACCUUCAAAGGAAGCACCGGCUAACUUCGUGCCAGCCGCCGCCGUAA
rnacentral:rRNA from 1 species